rnacentral:rRNA from 1 species
GAUGAACGCUGGCGGCGUGCCUAAUACAUGCAAGUCGAGCGAACGGACGAGAAGCUUGCUUUUCUGAUGUUAGCGGCGGACGGGUGAGUAACACGUGGAUAACCUACCUAUAAGACUGGGAUAACUUCGGGAAACCGGAGCUAAUACCGGAUAAUAUUUUGAACCGCAUGGUUCAAAAGUGAAAGACGGUCUUGCUGUCACUUAUAGAUGGAUCCGCGCUGCAUUAGCUAGUUGGUAAGGUAACGGCUUACCAAGGCAACGAUGCAUAGCCGACCUGAGAGGGUGAACGGCCACACUGGAACUGAGACACGGUCCAGACUCCUACGGGAGGCAGCAGUAGGGAAUCUUCCGCAAUGGGCGAAAGCCUGACGGAGCAACGCCGCGUGAGUGAUGAAGGUCUUCGGAUCGUAAAACUCUGUUAUUAGGGAAGAACAUAUGUGUAAGUACCUGUGCACAUCUUGACGGUACCUAAUCAGAAAGCCACGGCUAACUACGUG